rnacentral:rRNA from 1 species
UACGUAGGGUGCGAGCGUUAAUCGGAAUUACUGGGCGUAAAGCGUGCGCAGGCGGUUUGCUAAGACCGAUGUGAAAUCCCCGGGCUUAACCUGGGAACUGCAUUGGUGACUGGCAGGCUAGAGUAUGGCGGAGGGGGGUAGAAUUCCACGUGUAGCAGUGAAAUGCGUAGAGAUGUGGAGGAAUACCGAUGGCGAAGGCAGCCCCCUGGGCCAAUACUGACGCUCAUGCACGAAAGCGUGGGGAGCAAACAGG